rnacentral:misc_RNA from 1 species
UGGACCAGGAGGCCCAGCAGAGAAAGAC